rnacentral:lncRNA from 1 species
UCUGUCUCCACCAUCUCUCUCUGGACCUUCCUCAGCUAUGAUUCCUGGCCAUUACUGUCUCGUUACAUAUUUGGUACUUCCUCCUGGAUCUUAGGAAGCUCUAUCCCCUCAUAGAGGUAGAAGAAAGAACAGAGCUACUCCGAACGUGCUAUAAGAGUGUGCUCUGCCUGCCACCUACAGAAAUUUUGCAGAAGGAGGCAUCCAGUUCCCAGGAGGCCCACACCACUGUGGAGAGGGACCAGGUGAAGAUCUCGGCCCCCUCUGCCCUGGGCUACAUGUUGCAUCAAGUUGACAAAAUCAAGCCUGGACUCUCCACCCGAAGAGAGAUCUACACUUUUCUAGUCCCACUGCUGCUUAGCAUUCAGGAUAACAACACCGAGGUAGUCAAGGUACUGGUGAUCUCUGUCCUGCCAAGCUCAGCCUGAUUCAUCCCUCUUUCUGCUAGAGCAUAGCCUUUGGCUCUUUUUCAUGAGCCCAGCCUUGGCUGUACAUUUUAUAUCCACCUCUUUGGUGUCAUCC